CGACAAAAUCACGCAAACCAAUUAAUCAAUUAUCAAAAUAGUUUAAGCGAUUAAUUUAAAUGUUGACAGCUAAUGGAUUUAUCUUUGCAGCUUUAUUAUCAUAUGGUCAGAACG